CGCAGGCCCCGCCCAUGGCGGCACGCAGGCCCCGCCCCCGCCGCCAUCUUCGCUCAGGCUGCUCUGCUGGCGGGGCGUCCCCUUGCGAGGCUGUCCCUGCUCCUGCUGUCUCUAAGGAGAGUGAUGCUACAGACCAAUGUGAGGGAUGCCACAGACCAAGGUGGGAGCUGCUUGUAUUUCUUGCUACUAUGUUGUCAGUGAUUCCAGGCACAGAGGAGGCAGCUGUACUGACUGGUAUCCUCAAACAGUGGUCAAGAUAUAACAAAAAUAAGGUAGAUAAAUGUGAACAGUUUUUUGAUCAUGUGUCUGUGACAGCAUGCACUCAGUUAUUUUUUAUUUAUUUGUUUAUUUUUUUGAUUUUGACUCAUCAGAGCCCAUUUUUAUUUAUUU